UACGUAGGGACCAAGCGUUGUUCGGAUUUACUGGGCGUAAAGGGCGCGUAGGCGGCGCGGUAAGUCACUUGUGAAAUCUCUGAGCUUAACUCAGAACGGCCAAGUGAUACUGCAGUGCUAGAGUGUGGAAGGGGCAAUCGGAAUUCUUGGUGUAGCGGUGAAAUGCGUAGAUAUCAAGAGGAACACCUGAGGUGAAGACGGGUUGCUGGGCCGACACUGACGCUGACAGCGCGAAAGCCAGGGGAGCAAACGGG
rnacentral:rRNA from 1 species